CGAGCGGACAGAAGGGAGCUUGCUCCCGGAUGUUAGCGGCGGACGGGUGAGUAACACGUGGGUAACCUGCCUGUAAGACUGGGAUAACUCCGGGAAACCGGAGCUAAUACCGGAUAGUUCCUUGAACCGCAUGGUUCAAGGAUGAAAGACGGUUUCGGCUGUCACUUACAGAUGGACCCGCGGCGCAUUAGCUAGUUGGUGAGGUAACGGCUCACCAAGGCGACGAUGCGUAGCCGACCUGAGAGGGUGAUCGGCCACACUGGGACUGAGACACGGCCCAGACUCCUACGGGAGGCAGCAGUAGGGAAUCUUCCGCAAUGGACGAAAGUCUGACGGAGCAACGCCGCGUGAGUGAUGAAGGUUUUCGGAUCGUAAAGCUCUGUUGUUAGGGAAGAACAAGUGCAAGAGUAACUGCUUGCACCUUGACGGUACCUAACCAGAAAGCCACGGCUAACUACGUGCCAGCAGCCGCGGUAAUACGUAGGUGGCAAGCGUUGUCCGGAAUUAUUGGGCGUAAAGGGCUCGCAGGCGGUUUCUUAAGUCUGAUGUGAAAGCCCCCGGCUCAACCGGGGAGGGUCAUUGGAAACUGGGAAACUUGAGUGCAGAAGAGGAGAGUGGAAUUCCACGUGUAGCGGUGAAAUGCGUAGAGAUGUGGAGGAACACCAGUGGCGAAGGCGACUCUCUGGUCUGUAACUGACGCUGAGGAGCGAAAGCGUGGGGAGCGAACAGGAUUAGAUACCCUGGUAGUCCACGCCGUAAACGAUGAGUGCUAAGUGUUAGGGGGGUUUCCGCCCCUUAGUGCUGCAGCUAACGCAUUAAGCACUCCGCCUGG
rnacentral:rRNA from 1 species